UCCUUUAUACAAUUUCAGUGCUGAAUGCUACUCCCUCCAUUUCGGUAUACCGGGCCGUUCUCGGUUUUCACCGUAACCAAGGUGUGGCCUCGUUUAGCGCUAGAAUCAAUUGGCUUGUGAUUUUUCUGCAAGAUCAGUUGGUCUCCCUCUGCUUUAUAACUGCGCCAUAACUAGUGCAUGCAACUACCUAGCGCUGGAUUGGAGGGGAGGAAACAAGACGUGGCUAUUUUCUCGGGACGGAGGGCCGUAGUAGUUUUUUCGAGGCUGGCACGCGCUGGAUCGCUUUGAACGAAGGAAAACAGGAGAUCGGCCCCAUAAUCUGAAAUCGGGAUUUCGCAGAGAACAGCCCCAUAUACCGUGUUCUAUAAUUCUUGUCUCAAAUUUGCCCAAAUAUGGAUGUAUCUAUUCCUAUAAAGUGUCUAGAUACAUGUAAUAUUUCGACAAGAAUUAUGGAACGGAGGGAGUAGCUUAAACAUGUGGUGUUGCUUU